GGAUGAGGAUGGUCAUACUACAGGGAGCAGACAUUAUGCGCAAGGCAAAACUACAGCUGGAGCAUUACAUGGAAAUUAAGACUGCAGAAGGUUAGGAAACUCUGACUGCUGUAUUCCCUGGGGCUGAUCCAAAGCCUAGUAAAGUCUGCAGGAAGAAGCCCCCAGAGUGAUGGUCAGAAGAUGUUUUAUCUGGCUGCAAAGCAAGUGUUAGUGAGCUGAAUAUCCUCAUUGCAGCACUUGGUAAACACCUGAGCCUUCACAGAAGAGGAGGAAUUAUGAGAUUUGGGAAAAUGUUACGUCUCCUUGAGGCACCUGGUAGAUUCACCCCACCGUGCUUUGGAAGGAUUCACCUACACGUGCUUUGGAAUAAUUUAUGAAAUUACACAAGGGCAGCGAGGAUUUUUUUUUGUUGUUCAUUUAUUUGUUUAAAAUCAUCUGUAUUGCUUCACUGGUAUGGUUUGCUGUGUGACACCAUGAGCAAUUGCAGCCACACAAUAGAGAUGAGGCCACUUUGUCACUCCCUUGUUUAUUGCUAUGGGUUGUGGAAGAAGCAUUACAGAGGAGUCCCAGUGAAGCCCUCUGUAUCCCAAAGAGAGUCAAGAGGCAGUGACUCAUGCAUUUCAGCUUUUAGAAGGAAAAUAAAGUUUUUAUAAAUCAGAAGUAAAAUACUGAAAAAAGGAGAAUUAAUACAGAAAGAUGGAGAGAAGGACGAAGUAUCCUGGAAAAGUUUUGCUUCUCUUGGCAAAGACGAUAACCUGCAACUAGAUGCUGACUGAGUUUAUCUUAAAACUGAAGACUGGAUUGAAGUUGAUUCACAGGAAGAAUGGUUUUAAAGUAUUUUGUGAUGGCAGAGACAUUUGAUUCAGUUGGGCCUUGAAGAUUUUGCAGGAAACUAGCUGAAGCAAACUGAGUCAUUACUGAUUAUCUUCAAGAGCUUGUGGAGGAUUCAGAAGUACCAGAGGGCUGAAGAGGGACAAAUAUAGAACCCGCCUAUGGAAAACAGAGUUGGCGGCUGGGAAAUUACAGACUAGUCGGCCUAACUUCAACUUGUGGGCAGAUGCUAGAAGAAAUUAUUAAGCAGCUAUUUGAAAAUAUCCAGGAGGUAAUGAUCUUCCUAAAGAGAAAUAAAUAAAAUGAAUACGUAAUACAGAAAGAGGAAAUAAUUCAAAAGUAAUCAAGUUUAAUUUCUAACUUACUGAGAGGCCAGGUGAGAAAGGAGGUAAGAGAAGAUGCUAUAAAACUGAUGCUAGAAAAAGGUUUUUUCCACAGUGAGGUUAUGAAGGUCUAAUUCCAAUUAAGAUAGGACUGAUUGGAAAAUCACUUUUGAAGAGUAAUUGUCAAAGGCUUCUUAGUGUCUGACUAAAAGAGGAUCUUAAAUGAUAUCUAUCAGUGAUGUUUCUUAAGUCCAAUUCCAUUCAAAAUGCAAGCACUGACUUGUUUUAAUAAUAAGAAAAAAAAAAGUAUGCCUAAAUGCUUGUGAAUGAUAGCACGCUUGAGUAAAUGUAAAAGCAUCUAAAUGUACAGGAAUCUAAAAUGAUCUUGAAACGAAAUUUGGAGAGAUGUGUGAAAUUGGGAGGAAGAAAUUUAAUAUAGAAUCAUGCAGUUUUCUAUGCCCUCAAUGAAGAAGUUAAAUGCACAAAUACAAGCUUGUUUGACUGCUUGUCAAGAUAUUAGAAAAGAAUCUGAUGCUGAAAGGGAACCUCAAGCUCCUUACAAAUCAAUGAUGUAAUGUUGUACAAGAAAAAUAAAUCUUAUUUUGGAAUGUUUUGAUGGAAAUAUUAUCAGUAACUCAGAACAGAUUUUUCAAGCAAACUCACUGUUGAUGAAGUAAAGUGAUACAUUCAUUUUUGGCAUUGCACUUUAAAAACUGUAGAUAUAAACUAGGAGUAGUCUGGGGAGAGAUAUAACAAUGACAAAAAUCUUUGAGCACUUGAUCUAUCAGGAAAGGUUGGAUAAAUAACCCUCUUAUCCCAUUAUGGCCAUUGCAACCACUUCUCCAACUCUCAACUUUUCACGUUCCUGACUUCUCAGAAGAAGACCUACCUCAGAAUGCCCAGGCAAAAUUCCUUCUUCUUGUGUGCUGAAAAUGUCAGGUGAGCACAGAGAAUUAGUAAAUGCUGACGAUGUCUCAUUUAAUUGUGGACCUCCUUUGCUUCAUUCUGUUACUACUUUAUAGGAUGAGCAUCCCUUCUGCCAGCUGCUACCCUAAUUUCCAUGCACUCUUCCAUGCUGCUCAUUAGGCCUCCCUUGAGUAAAAAGCCACUCACACCUUUCAACCUCAGCAAUCAACCUUAAGCAUCUUAGCUGGACCUUCACCAAGACUCUGUCACAGCCAAAAAAGAAGAAUUAUUGCUCCAGUAGGUCAUUUGAUACCACAAAGAUUUGAGCCCUAAUUUACAUGCCUCAAACUAAAUGUGUGAAGUCAACUGCUGUUAGUUCUCCCUGAAGUGUCCUUCACUAGCUCAUCCACAAAGGCCUUCCUCCUACAGAAGAAAACCUUAAAAAAACCUUCAUUGUUGCAAGAAGAUGCUUGCAAGAAGUCUAGGACAUAAUGUCACACAAAUCAAUGUGUUUUCCAAUUCCCAUAGCAAAAAUGUUUAAUAUAAAAUACUUUUCUGCCCUAGUAUCCAUGCAACAGCAUUUUUAUUUAAAUAAUAGGAGCUCUUCCUGACAAGAAGCUUUUGAAAAAUGGCACUUUGGAAAUGAAAUGGAAACAUAUAAUAAGCAAUGUGUUUUAGAAAUUUCAGUUUCUUCCUUAUCUUCAACAUUCCUGUCAGAGAAUGGUUUUAGUUGGAAGGAACAUUGAAGAUCAUCUAAUUCCAACCCAUACCUUCCACUAGAUCAGGAAUUGUCCAUUUUGGACAUAAGCUACUUUCUGUUUCCAUUCUUUCUCUCUAUCGAAGCUUAUUUUCAUUCACCGUAAUGGAAUUUAGGAGACUCAACAUAUUUUUCUAACAGUUUCAAAAUAACCACUCCAAAUUAUUGGAAACUUAAAGUCAUUAGCAAACCCUUCAAGAUAAUCUCCUGCAUACUCAUCAUGACCUACUCUAAUUCAUAAAUAUU